rnacentral:tRNA from 2 species
GGGCUAUUAGCUCAGUGGUAGAGCGCGCCCCUGAUAAUUGCGGGAUUUCCCUAAUCCUCCCUUCCCGAAAGGAAGAA